rnacentral:rRNA from 1 species
AACGAACGCUGGCGGCGUGCUUAACACAUGCAAGUCGAACGAGAAUCUACGGAUCGAGGAUUCGUCCAAGUGAAGUAGAGGACAGUGGCGGACGGGUGAGUAACGCGUGAGGAACCUGCCUUUCAGAGGGGGACAACAGUUGGAAACGACUGCUAAUACCGCAUGACACAUUGGGGUCGCAUGGCUCUGAUGUCAAAGAUUGAUCGCUGAAAGAUGGCCUCGCGUCUGAUUAGCUAGUUGGUGAGGUAACGGCCCACCAAGGCGACGAUCAGGAGCCGGACUGAGAGAUUGAGCGGACACAUUGGGACUGAGAGACGGCCCAGACUCCUACGGGAGGCAGCAGUGGGGAAUAUUGGGCAAUGGGCGCAAGCCUGACCCAGCAACGCCGCGUGAAGGAAGAAGGCUUUCGGGUUGUAAACUUCUUUUGUCAGGGACGAGUAGAAGACGGUACCUGACGAAUAAGCCACGGCUAACUACGUGCCAGCAGCCGCAGUAAAAC